UACGUAGGGUGCAAGCGUUGUCCGGAAUUAUUGGGCGUAAAGAGCUCGUAGGCGGCUUGUCGCGUCGACUGUGAAAACCCGCGGCCCAACUGCGGGCUUGCAGUCGAUACGGGCAGGCUAAAGUUCGGUAGGGGAGACUGGAAUUCCUGGUGUAGCGGUGAAAUGCGCAGAUAUCAGGAGGAACACCGAUUGCGAAGGCAGCUCACUAAGCCAACAUUGACGCUGAGGCACGAAAGCGUGGGUAGCGAACAGG
rnacentral:rRNA from 1 species